AACUACAGAACCAAGCAGUGCUUAAUUUAUGCCAGGGUUUGCCAGGGCUGAGCCCCGGCACCUCUAGGUUUGGUAGUUCAUAACCCCGGCACCUCUGG